UACGUAGGGUGCGAGCGUUGUCCGGAAUUAUUGGGCGUAAAGAGCUCGUAGGCGGCCUGUCGCGUCGGAUGUGAAAGCCCGGGGCUCAACCCCGGGUCUGCAUUCGAUACGGGCAGGCUAGAGUGUGGUAGGGGAGAUCGGAAUUCCUGGUGUAGCGGUGAAAUGCGCAGAUAUCAGGAGGAACACCGAUGGCGAAGGCAGUUCUCUGGGCCGUAACUGACGCUGAGGAGCGAAAGCGUGGGGAGCGAACAGG
rnacentral:rRNA from 1 species